UACGGAGGGUGCAAGCGUUGCUCGGAAUCAUUGGGCGUAAAGCGUACGCAGGCUGUUCGUUAAGUCGGGUGUGAAAGCCCAGGGCUCAACCCUGGAAUGGCGCCCGAAACUGGCGAGCUUGAGUGCGGGAGAGGGAAGCGGAAUUCCUGGUGUAGAGGUGAAAUGCGUAGAUAUCGGGAGGAACAUCGAUGGCGAAAGCAACCGUCUGGGCCUGAACUGACACUGAGACACGAAAGCGUGGGGAGCAAACAGG
rnacentral:rRNA from 1 species